CCCGUCACACCAUGAGAGUUGGAAACACCCGAAGCCUGUGAGCUAACAGUAAUGAGGCAGCAGUCGAAGGUAGAGCCAAUGAUUGGGGUGAAGUCGUAACAAGGUAUC
rnacentral:rRNA from 1 species